AACGCGAAGAACCUUACCUGGGUUUGACAUCCUUUGACAGUCCCGGAAACGGGAUCUUUCCGACUUUGUCGGAACAGAGUGACAGGUGCUGCAUGGCUGUCGUCAGCUCGUGUCGUGAGAUGUUGGGUUAAGUCCCGCAACGAGCGUAACCCUUGUCUUUAGUUGCCAGUAUUUAGUUAGGCACUCUAAAGAGACUGCCUCGGUUAACGGGGAGGAAGGUGGGGAUGACGUCAAGUCCUCAUGGCCUUUAUACCCAGGGCUACACACGUGCUACAAUGGGCUGUACAAAGGGUAGCUAAUUCGCGAGGAAGCGCUAAUCCCAAAAAGCAGCUCUCAGUUCGGAUUGGAGUCUGCAACUCGACUCCAUGAAGGUGGAAUCGCUAGUA
rnacentral:rRNA from 1 species